rnacentral:rRNA from 1 species
GUGGGGAAUAUUGGACAAUGGGCGCAAGCCUGAUCCAGCCAUACCGCGUGGGUGAAGAAGGCCUUCGGGUUGUAAAGCCCUUUUGUUGGGAAAGAAAUCCUAUCGGUUAAUAACCGGUGGGGAUGACGGUACCCAAAGAAUAAGCACCGGCUAACUUCGUGCCAGCAGCCGCGGUAAUACGAAGGGUGCAAGCGUUACUCGGAAUUACUGGGCGUAAAGCGUGCGUAGGUGGUGGUUUAAGUCUGCUGUGAAAGCCCUGGGCUCAACCUGGGAAUUGCAGUGGAUACUGGAUCACUAGAGUGUGGUAGAGGGAUGCGGAAUUUCUGGUGUAGCAGUGAAAUGCGUAGAGAUCAGAAGGAACAUCCGUGGCGAAGGCGGCAUCCUGGGCCAACACUGACACUGAGGCACGAAAGCGUGGGGAGCAAACAGGAUUAGAAACCCUGGUAGUCC